UGUUAAAAUCUGCAUCCAUUUGUAUCGUUAAAAACUGACAUGGCUAUCAAAAUAAGCAAACAUUGAUACAUGCGUGUCACGUGCAUCUUAUGUUGAUAUACAAGGAGUAAUUUUUAACAGUAGAAAUGAAUGAAAAUUUUCAAA
rnacentral:pre_miRNA from 1 species